UCGCGUUGAAAAUAAUACUGUACGUUGAUUGUAGUAUGGAAAAAUUUACUCGGUUGAGUUUAUGUUUUAUGUUCAUAGGCUAAGUAAGGUAUUUAAAAUACGUUUGCAUGAAUUUUUUCAUUGCGUAGAAUAAUUUAUCAUUUUUAUGAUUUCAUUUUCAGUAUGAAUGGGAGUCUAGAUUUUCAAAUCACAGGAACUAAUUCGUUUAUAUCCUGCAUUCAAAUAGGAGGAUAUGAAGAUUAUGUUUUCCUCGAGUAUCGUCUGGCUGAGUAGUAUAAUUUGUUUAUUUUUUGCAAACAGAUUUCAUGAUGGAUGAUGCCGGUGGAUAGAAAUAUGUUUUUAAAAGCUGACAGAAGAUACAUUUUCAUUCAUUCAAAAGCUCAUCGAAACUUCAAAAGACCUCAGAUGUUGCAGGUAUAAUUUUUCACGAAUCGAGUUGACAUAAAUUGGAAGUAAUAUCCGGCUGGUGUUUCAUUUUGUCAUGUUGUCUGUUUGGGGAAGCGAAGCGGAGAUACCUAUUGAAUAAUCGUUAAAAUAUAUUUGCGAACAGGAUGCUCCUGUGUGUACCGGGUGUUCCAUUUUAAUCAUUGUGAUUUUCUGAAUAAUUAGUGCGUUAGAGUAUGCAACCCAAACUACACUCGUGGGAAUUGAUUGGCCAGUCUCGAGGAUUAAGGGAACACGCUAAUGUAACGUGUUACGUGCAGUUUCUUCGACCUUACGCAAUGCAGUGAAUAACGUAGAUAUGCCUAGUUGUUGAGCUUUGAUGAAAUUUAAUUAUUAUAGUACCCUACCUACGUUUUGGAACCUAAUUUUCAAACCAGUAUUUUCUUGGAUAAAAUUGUUUACAAAAAUCUCGAACACUUCAUUUCCAGAUGAAUCAUUCUAUCAGCUUCCAAGUAAAAUGGAUUAUUAUUUUCGAGAAUUCAUUUUUAUCAAAUUUUUAGGUGUUGUUAUUUAUUAAUUUUUUUAAUCCAGAAAUACUGAAGAGAAUAUUCUUACAGAAAAUAUGAUGAUCAUGGUUGAAAAAUGUCCUUUUUGCACUCUGGAUUGACAAUAAUAGCACCAAAUCCAUUAUUUUUAUGUUAGUAAUUUUUCUCUUCAAAUCAUUUUUUUUUUUUUUUUUUUUUUUUUUUUUGAAAAUUGGGAAUGGAGAUUUAAAAAGUCAUGCAGAUAAGGUUUAAGUAUAAUUUGAAAAUUUUCAAAAAUCGUUCGUAAAAAUUAUUUUGAAGGGAGAGAUUUUUAUCAGAAGAUCAUGGGCGCGACCAUAGUUUUUUAGCCCUGCCUCAUUUUUCAGGGGUACACAAGAAUAUUAGAUCAUUUUGAUUUUUCAAAACUUCAUGAAAAACAGAAAAAGUCAUUAUCGAUCAAUGAUUCAUCUCAAUUUUUCAAAAAUAAAUGUUGUAAAAAAAUUGCCAGUGAUUUUCCACCCUUUUUUUUUUUACAGGAGUUUUUUAGAAGUGAAGUUUGUUAUUUUGGGCUCACAGUCAGUCUGACCUUAGGUAGAGGUAGGAAGGAUGAAUGUUGAAUAUUAGGGGUAGUAUUUCAAUUUUUUUUAAAUGAAAAGUUCUAAUUUUUCAAGUCAGUAUUUUAUUCAACUUUCUCAAUGUGAACUAUAAACUUGAAAAAUAUCAUAAAUUUUCAAAUCUUUUAUUUUUUUGAUUGUUGUUUUUUUUAUCCAAGUUGUUUUUUGUAGUAGUUUGAUUUUUUUUCAAUUUUAAGGGGAGGGGAAAGGAGAAGUAGCAGAAAAUGUAUAGCUUGACCUUUAAAAAAUCUCAUGAAAUCUUCACUCCUGAUUCUUGAAUGUCCUGCUUAUAUUAUCCAUCCUGAUUUUCUUGCUUUCGUUUUGUGUUUUACCAAAAUUGUCAAAAAGUGCUGAUUUUUCUCCAUUUUUUCAACUUUUGAAAUUUUUUAUUAAUUUUAUUUUUCUCUGGUGCUGUAGAAAGUUGAAAGAAAAACUAGACAGCUAAGCAAAGCUUAGCUGCAAAGUGUGCGUAGCUAGCUGCCUUUUCUACAGCUAUAACCGCUAUUACAUAGCUAAGUAGUGCAUGCCUCUAAUUAUUCAGAAUUCUCAUUAUCUUCAUAUAUAUUACAUACAAUAAUUGAAGAGCUCUAUUCCAAAGUGGGAUGGAUUUUUCAAAGUAAAUUUUUCUACAAGUGAUUGUUCUAUGUCCAAAGAAAGGAAAGGUGCACCACCUUUGGAAACAGAACAAAUUUCAGUAUCAAAAACUUUAAACGCAUUUUUUGGAGGAAAAAAUGACUUGACCCACUUUGGAAUAGAGCUCUUCAAUUAUUCAUAUCAUUUUCAAGUUCACAUUAUCUACAACUUAUAGAACUUUUAAUCAAUUUUUGGAAUUCUCAGUGUCUCUAAAUGACAAAUUUUCAUAUUUUUUUUAGAAUUUCCAUUGUCUUCAAAUUUAUAAAAUUUCAAACCAAUUUUCAGAAUUUGCCUUUGAUUCUAAAAUUAUUAAAUCAUAUAAAAUAUGUUAAGGAUUCGCAUUGCCUCUAAAUAACACGAAAAAAAUAUGGGUAAUUUUUACAAAAAGUGUUGACUACAUAUUUAGCACAAUAACAAGAUCCCAUACAAAAAUAUGUACAUAAUAUACCUAAGUAAGUAUGAUAAAAUUUGUUUUGAAAAUCAGCAAUUUUCAACUG